GACGAACGCUGGCGGCGUGCUUAACACAUGCAAGUCGAACGGAAAGGCCCUGCUUUUGUGGGGUGCUCGAGUGGCGAACGGGGGAGUAACACGUGAGUAACCUGCCCUUGACUUUGGGAUAACUUCAGGAAACUGGGGCUAAUACCGGAUAGGAGCUCCUGCUGCAUGGUGGGGGUUGGAAAGUUUCGGCGGUUGGGGAUGGACUCGCGGCUUAUCAGCUUGUUGGUGGGGUAGUGGCUUACCAAGGCUUUGACGGGUAGCCGGCCUGAGAGGGUGACCGGCGACAUUGGGACUGAGAUACGGCCCAGACUGCUACGGGGGGCAGCAGUGGGGAAUAUUGCACAAUGGGCGGAAGUCUGAUGCAGCAACGCCGCGUGCGUGAUGACGUCCUUCGGGGUGUAAACCGCUUUCGCCUGUGACGAAGCGUGAGUGACGGUAAUGGGUAAAGAAGCACCGGCUAACUACGUG
rnacentral:rRNA from 1 species